rnacentral:tRNA from 1 species
GCCGGAGUGGCGGAACUGGCAGACGCAAGGGACUUAAAAUCCCUCGGUGGCAACACCGUACCGGUUCGAUCCCGGUCUCCGGUACCA